rnacentral:piRNA from 1 species
UGUCUUAAAGAGACCUCAAGGAUGUUUGC